UGUGGGGGUUUGUGCCACCCCUGCCCAGCCUUACGGGCUCUGUGUCCUCAUCUUCUUCUUGCUCUACUGCCCCCCCGCCCCCCCCCCCCCCGCCUCUCACCUCACACGGAGGCCUUCACCACAGUUUCUUUGCAUGGGAACCUGCCGUGGCCUCCUCUGCAGGGGAACUUGUGCAGGAUUUGCAGGUCCAUCCCUCAGCCUCCAGCCCCGAUGCCGCCCCUGCCCCAGGGCCUUUGCACCUGCUCCUCCCUCUGCCUGGCGUCUCACUCACAGCUACUACUUCCUCCUCAAAUCCAUUUCCUGUGGCUGCUGUCAUAGCACGCCACACACUGGCCACCGAAACCUCAAACCUCACCUUCCCUCUGUUCCGGAGGCCAGAGAGCUGAGACCAAGGCACACUGGCCGGGCUCUCCUGAAGGCGCUGAGCAAGAGCCCCUCCACCCCUCAGGCCUCUCUGCCUUUGCUGCAGCCUGUGGGUCUGGCCUGUGGCAUGUCCUCCGGCCUUAGCCACUGCCUUCCCGUGGCCUCUCUGAGCUCACAUCUCCCUCUCCUCUCUCUCCUGUAGAGGGUCCUCAGCAUUGGAUCUCGGCUCCCCCUAAAUCCGAGAUGGCCUCAUCUCUGGACCCUUAACCCAUCCACAGCGCUGCCCCAGGAAGUCCUGCUGAGUGUUGGGUGUUUCCCUGGGCUGAUGGUUUGCACCUGGCGGCUGCCCCAAUUCAGGAUUGCACUGUGGUGGCUGAAAUGUGGAGUUUGCCCACCAGGAGGAACCCCCGGCCCGGGGCUGACGGCGACCCCGCCUUGGCCUCUGUUCUCCCUGCGGAAUCGCUUUGACUGCUCCUGAGGGCGGUGAGGCCGCCUUGCUGUGUCAGAUUCAUGGAUUGUAAUGGAAUUCAUCAGACGAAAAACAGACAAAGGAACACACAGGAUGAAAGGUGGAGCCGUGUUCUUCUCCUUUAAAAAGAUUUUUAAAAAACUGUGAACUGUGCAAAAAUAUUCCUAUUGUCAUGGCCCAGCAUUAGAACCGAGUACAAUCCUGCAUGCUUGCUUCAAGCCCCUCUGUGUUUUCCCUCUAAGGUACUCGAUUGUUUCUGUGAAAAUAACACAUACUCAUUCCAAAGAAUUUAAUCGAUGCAGAAAUGUGCCAAGAAAAAAAUGCAAACACUCUAGGCACCUUCACCCAGGAAACACUGCUGUUGACAUGCGGUGAUUAUUAUUCCGGGGGAGUGGCGGAUACGCAGCAACGCUCCGAAUGUGGACACGCUGUUUUCAGUCAGAGUUAAAUUUCAUCCACUCGAGCUUGAGAUGGGAAAAGGAAACUCAAGGGGUUUUUGAAUUGCAAACGCAUGGCUCUCUAUCAAGUUAUUUUUGAGAGUUCUCUAAGGCGGUUGUAAAAAGUUUACAGAGCAGUGCAAGCUUUGAGUCACCUUUUAAGAAUGGAUGGCAAUUUAGACAUGGCUGUAAAACGUGGCGAAUGUGUGUGUUGAGUCUUCUGCCCGUCUCUCUCCCUCCCACUCUGACUGUCGUUGGUCGUAUCCCUGCCUUAUAUUGUCCUGCUUUGCAACGCUGGUGCUCCAGUGUGAGACAGUAACUCCUGCAUCACUGGGUAUGGGGAAUCUUUCCAGGAUCCGGUGCUGCUGGUGAACACAGUGCCUUUCACUUUUCUAUUCCUGAAGUUGGACUCCACUCUGGAUUGCUUUGCCAGCUGGCAUCUGGUUUUUUAGGAAGGGCUCUUGGGUGCUGAAGUCCUUUCGUGCCUCUGUCCCAGGUGCUAUCUUGGCUGGGCAUGGUUUCUGCCGGUGCUGGAGCAUGAGCACCUCUCAUUGUGUAUUGGGUGAUAUCUUAGCUGGGUAUGGCUCUGUGGGUGCUGGAGGAUGAGCACCUCUCCCUGUGUACUGUACUGGGUGAUAUCUUAGCUGGGCGUGGUCUGUGGGUGCUGGAGGAUGAGCACCUCUCCCUGUGUACUGUACUGGGUGAUAUCUUAGCUGGGCAUGGUGUGUGGGUGCUGGAGGAUGAGCACCCCUGCCUGUGUACUGGGUGAUAUCUUAGCUGGGCAUGGUCUGUGGGUGCCGGAGGAUGAGCACCUCUCCCUGUGUACUGUACUGGGUGUUAUCUUAGCUGGGCGUGAUGUGUGGGUGCUGGAGGAUAAGCACCUCUCCCUGUGUACUGUACUGGGUGAUAUCUUAGCUGGGCAUGGUCUGUGGGUGCUGGAGGAUAAGCACCUCUCCCUGCAUACUGUACUGGGUGUUAUCUUAGCUGGGCAUGGUCUGUGGGUGCUGGAGGAUAAGCACCUCUCCCUGUGUACUGUACUGGGUGUUAUCUUAGCUGGGCAUGGUCUGUGGGUGCUGGAGGAUGAGCACCCCUGCCUGUGUACUGGGUGAUAUCUUAGCUGGGUAUGGCUUCUGCAGUCCUGCAGCCAUUCCCUCACACUCAGCCAUGGUUUUCCUGUGUCUUCUGGCUCCGAAGAUGGCUGGUAAUAUCUGAGGCCAGUGUGGCUGAUUUUUUCUUGUAAAUGAUUUACUUUUUGUUGCUUAAAGAGUCUUCUUUACCCUCAGUGUUCAGGAACUCAACUAUGUUUUCUUUCAAAAUUUUCCAGAAAACAGGGCCGUCUUCAGAUCUGCCAGUCCAGUGUUAUUAUUAUUUUUUGUAGAUAAAUUUGUCUUUGGAUGCACUAUGUCUUCCACUUGCUGGGUUCUUGACUUCAGGGAAAUCCAUUUUUCAUAUGUUGAUUUUUUUAUGUCUUUUUUUUGAAGGAAGGGGAGGUUUAUUCGGCCGGGAGCAGGGUGGCAUGGUUGCCUCACAGCCAAGCUUGUCUAACAAAGGAAAUCUCUGCCUUUAUAUAGGCUCACAACUCUAGAUAUUACAUGUGAAUAUAAUAUGGGUCUUGGGUUUACAGUUUUAGAAGGUACACGUGAGGGGGUCGGGAUCGAUAAGUAAGCAUGGGGGUUUGAGGAAGAUUGAAUGGCCACAAUAGAGGGCGUUUCUCCAUUCCCCACCCUUAACAUUGCCUGAGAUCUUAAGGGUCAGGGGGGAUUUAAUCUUUAACCUCCAGGCCGCUGACCUCAUGCCUGCUACUUACCAACUUUUACUUCCUCCUUCUCUGAGAUAAGAGUCAGGGAAGAGGGUUUUUUCCCUCAUUUCCCCACUUUGAGAACCUCACUUACUAGUGAAGAGGGAGACCCAGGCAUCUCAGAUCAACUUCCCCUUCUUCCUAAGACUGUAAACUUCCCCUUUUCAUUCCUAAGACUGUAAACUGAGACCCUUUUCACAUGUAAUUCCUGAGACUGUAAACCGAGACCCUUUACACAUGUAAUUCCUGAGACUGUAAACCGAGACCCUUUUCACGUGUAAUUCCUGAGACUGUAAACCGAGACCCUUUUCACGUGUAAUUCCUGAGACUGUGAACCGGGACCCUUUACACGUGUAAUUCCUGAGACUGUAAACUGAGACCCUUUUCACAUGUAAUUCCUGAGACUGUAAACCGAGACCCUUUUCACGUGUAAUUCCUGAGACUGUAAACCGGGACCCUUUACACGUGUAAUUCCUGAGACUGUAAACCGAGACCCUUUUCACAUGUAAUUCCUGAGACUGUAAACCGGGACCCUUUUCACGUGUAAUUCCUGAGACUGUAAACCGAGACCCUUUUCACGUGUAAUUCCUGAGACUGUAAACCGGGACCCUUUUCACAUGUAAUUCCUGAGACUGUAAACUGAGACCCUUUUCACAUGUUAAGCUAUAAACCUAAGACUCUUUCACGUGUAACAUCUAAAGUAUAAGCCUAUAUAAAGAAGGAACCUUCCUUUGUUAGGGAGCUUGGCUGUUAGGCAACUAUGCCACCCGGCUCCCGGCCUGAAUAAACUCCUUCCUCCUGUA